rnacentral:lncRNA from 1 species
GUAAAAGUUCGUUUUGGUAAUGCAUGGGAAGUUCACUAAGCUCUAUUUAUACAAGCUCUACAAAAAGCAGUUGUGAAAGUCAAGUUCAUGAAUAUGAUGGAUGUGCUCUAACUGGGAAUACACAAAAGCCAAAAAGUCAGACUUCAGAAAAAUAUUACUUGGCAAAUGAACUAGAAUGUUCUGUGACCACAGUUCAAAUAUGCUGGUUUUCCGAAAAAUGUUCAGGACAUCCAAUUAUAUUCCCAAGCCUUCCAGUUCAUUUGCAAGACUAG